rnacentral:rRNA from 1 species
UACGUAGGGCGCAAGCGUUGUCCGGAAUUAUUGGGCGUAAAGAGCUCGUAGGCGGCCAGUUGCGUCUGCUGUGAAAUCCCGGGGCUCAACCCCGGGCGUGCAGUGGAUACGGGCUGGCUAGAGGCCGGCAGGGGAGAACGGAAUUCCCGGUGUAGCGGUGAAAUGCGCAGAUAUCAGGAAGAACACCCGUGGCGAAGGCGGCUCUCUAGUACGGUACUGACGCUGAGACGCGAAAGCGUGGGGAGCGAACAGG